AUGACGUCAAGUCAUCAUGGCCCUUACGACCAGGGCUACACACGUGCUACAAUGGCGCAUACAAAGAGAAGCGACCUCGCGAGAGCAAGCGGACCUCAUAAAGUGCGUCGUAGUCCGGAUUGGAGUCUGCAACUCGACUCCAUGAAGUCGGAAUCGCUAGUAAUCGUGGAUCAGAAUGCCACGGUGAAUACGUUCCCGGGCCUUGUACACACCGCCCGUCACACCAUGGGAGUGGGUGCAAAAGAAGUAGGUAGCUUAACCUUCGGGAG
rnacentral:rRNA from 1 species